ACGAACGCUGGCGGCGUGCUUAACACAUGCAAGUCGAACGGAAAGGCCCUUCGGGGUACUCGAGUGGCGAACGGGUGGGUCACACGUGGGUGAUCUGCCCUGCACUUUGGGAUAAGCCUGGGAAACUGGGUCUAAUACCGGAUAGGACCACGGCAUUCAUGUGCUGUGGUGGAAAGCUUUUGCGGUGUGGGAUGGGCCCGCGGCCUAUCAGCUUGUUGGUGGGGUAAUGGCCUACCAAGGCGACGACGGGUAGCCGGCCUGAGAGGGUGACCGGCCACACUGGGACUGAGAUACGGCCCAGACUCCUACGGGAGGCAGCAGUGGGGAAUAUUGCACAAUGGGCGCAAGCCUGAUGCAGCGACGCCGCGUGAGGGAUGACGGCCUUCGGGUUGUAAACCUCUUUCGCCAGGGACGAAGCGCAAGUGACGGUACCUGGAGAAGAAGGACCGGCCAACUACGUG
rnacentral:rRNA from 1 species